ACCGCGCACAUGAUGAUUGAAUUCAUUAAAGUAUAGUUCAUCUGAAAAUCAAUGAUGACUAUUAUUUCGCCCCUAUCUGAUACGCGCU
rnacentral:snoRNA from 1 species